rnacentral:rRNA from 1 species
CCUACGGGUCUUAUCGACCCGGGAGACAGUGUCAGGUGGGCAGUUUGACUGGGGCGGUCGCCUCCUAAAGUGUAACGGAGGCGCCCAAAGGUUCCCUCAGAAUGGUUGGAAAUCAUUCGUAGAGUGCAAAGGCAUAAGGGAGCUUGACUGCGAGACCUACAAGUCGAGCAGGGACGAAAGUCGGGCUUAGUGAUCCGGUGGUUCCGCAUGGAAGGGCCAUCGCUCAACGGAUAAAAGCUACCCCGGGGAUAACAGGCUUAUCUCCCCCAAGAGUCCACAUCGACGGGGAGGUUUGGCACCUCGAUGUCGGCUCAUCGCAUCCUGGGGCUGUAGUCGGUCCCA